GUGCAAUGUGGGAUAUCAAUUUAUUGGAAUUGGAAACACACAGCGCUACGAGCAUUGAGGGGUGAUCAGCCCACACCAAGCUCCGAACCACAUAAAGUGAUUCAACCAGGGAGGAUCCUCGGCACACAUUGGCCAUAAACAGACAUCAGGCUCCCCGCUACUGAUGCUGCAAUAAUUGACUGGCGCCUCAGUCUUAAUAAAUUAUUAUCCAAUUCCUUUUAAGGUUAUCUCAAAUCAAAUCAUUUUCAAAAAGGGGUCUGGAUCAAGGACAAGUUAUAAGCAAGGAUGUUUUCAAAAUACAAGUGAUCUUUCUAAAGUAAAGGAUGUUAUUAAGAUCAGGGUU
rnacentral:lncRNA from 1 species